CGCGAAACGCGCGGCCGCGAUCCACCCGCGAGAUUCGCUUCCACCUUGCCGUAAUGUCACCGGGAUAGACAUUGAGACCUAGUCCCACAUUCGGAGACGGUGUCAAGGUUGGCUCGCGGCAUUAUUCGGAAUCAAGAUCAUCUCACGUUACGCGGUCUUCGCGGUGGAUCAAGAAUUCGGCACGAACUUCGCGCAACACCGCUCCUAUUCAUCCUCGAUUCCCUCGAAGUUUUGAGACACCGAAGGAUCCUCUUGCUCAAUUCGCGGCAUGCCCGUUUUCAUGCUCAAGGAUCAUUGCCGAAAUCGGGGAUGAUUUGCGAGGAACGCGGGGAAGUUGGCCGUAGCCGCGAUUCGACGGGAGCUUCGAAAUUCGAUAAAUCGGAAAACCGUGAAUCCGGCGUGUAUCCUACUUUGAUCGCGCCUCGAGAUUAAUCUCGAGCGUUGCUUCGAAGUUCGAAGCUUUACUGAAGUUUUGCCAAAACCCGUCGACUUUACGAGCUACUGCCACGGACGAUCGUCGGCAAUUGGAACGAUCAGCGAAGUAAACAGAGGAGAAAGCGGAAUGGUUGUUAGAUAAAACAAUGAACAGUCUUUUGGCGACGCCGCGGGGACCGUAAAUUUGUUCGUUGAAACUGCUCGCGUGGAAAUUAAGCGGGGAACCGGCCGGUUUCGGAUUCGCUGGACGAUCCGCUUUUCUCGGAUGAUCGAUCGGUGAUUUUCGCGCGCGAUUUCCGUACCCAGUACACGGCGGCUUCUUCCUCCUUCGGGUGGUGCUCGAUGGUCUGACGAUAAACGGUGGUGUAGGCCGGCAUCGUUCCCUGUGGUUCCGUGUGUUCCGUUCACCCUUGUUCCUCUCGUUCCCCGUCCGAGAACGUCGACACCUUUUUCCUCCGUAGAUCCCUCUCCUACGAAUAUUCUCUAACGCACUGGCUCGUUGCGCGGGCGGCACUAACUCUGGUCUUUUCCACGCGACUCCUCUCGCGCUCUUUCUUCUCCUCUCCCGUAUUACCGACGUAUCUCGAUCACUCCUACGUUUCACCCUCUUGAUCGUCUAUACGAUCGCUUUGCCCUCGACCGUUCUCGCUCCUCCGCGACUUCUCCGCCGCACUUCGUGCCUUCUCCCGAAGAUCGCGUCGCGAUCAUUCCUCGCCGGUCGAACGAUCGCUUCUCGAUCGACGGUCACGUACAUCUCCAUCGUCUUCCGACCCUCCUGGAUAGGUGGUCGCACGGUGUUUCGGUGGAAAUGCUGCGGCCGUAUGAUAUUUUGGCGAACGGCUCGCAUCGCCGAUGAUAAAUCUCGAGAGGCCCAGUUCGUUCCACGAGAAACGGUAACUCGAUCCGAGUAUCAGCGAUUUAGAGUCUCGUCAACGGUGUUUCCCUUGGCAGCAACCCUUCCCACGCUAAAGUCAAGGACAGCGAUUUGCAUAAACGGAACGCGAUUGUCUCGAUCUCGACGUUCGUCCAGCUUUAACUUCGGGAAAUCGAUUAAUCCUUCUGUUUGAGAACAUCUUGGACAAGAUUAGAACGCGAGUUUCCUAGAAAAGAUCAAACAAAUCGGUGCUGAGGAAACGAAAACAUUAUUGGAUCAUGCGGAACCGAAGGUUACGAGAUCGGAUUCGGCCGUGUUACGUGGAGCUGGAGCGCGCGUAGCCGUGGAUACGAUGCAACAGGAUGGAUAACGAUGUCCCCGUGAUCGUCCUGAAUCGCGUAACAUUGGAUCGGAGCAGUGGUUCCGAUGCAAAAGCGAUAUUUAUAGCGUGGCGACUGCCUCUACGCGGACUUUCCGGCAUCGUGCGGGCCAACAAAAAUAUAUUCGCACUUCGGAUGUCUCGCAGAACGAACGCCCGCUUCUUCGUCUUCGUCUCCGGGCUACCCGCGAGAUUACGCCAUUCAUUUCUCGCCUGUUCCUUGGUCGCUAGCCCGGACAAUAGAAUAGUACAACUAAAUCGAUCGGCUUGCCGGAUGAAUCUUCGGACCUCGCCUCUCGUAAAAUUCAUUCAACGCGAAUAAAACCAGUUGGACGCGUUUUGGCUCGUAAAAUAUAACUAUUUAACCAUAAAAUCUUCGGACAAACAGGAAGAAGGUAACACCGAUCAUCAACGAGCGCAUCGCGGAAACGUCUGCGAGGAGAGGACACAUCCAAGUGGCAACUAUGCAAACGGAAACGUCAAUCCGACCAAGAACUGGACGCGGAAGAAUAAACGGCCCCUGUCGCUUCGACGGCCUCUAUAAACUUGUAACUUAACGACCGCGCGUGCAACCGCUUACAUAACACCGUACAAGAGCAUAACUUUCAUGCGAUGUUACUUUCUUUCGGACACGCUCGAGCCAAGGCCGAGCUCGGGCAAGCGAUACGUCAACGCGUCGAAAUUAAUCGCGGAAAUAGCGAAUUAAAUUUGCCCCGUCCGAGGGGAUCGCGUUGAGUUAUUGGAUUUCAAAUUGCGAGAGCGACGAGCAACUUGCCAGACAGAGGUUCGGCCCGCGCCUCGCCGUUUGAAGCCCGAUAAAUCAUCGUUCGCCGUGGGCCGCCUUGAAUUCGUUCGAUCGACUAGGAGAACGGAAAUUCAAAAUGUAUAAGGAGUCAUUCGAUCCGCAAAUCAGCGAGGAUUAACGGCGUGCGCAGGCCGUGUACUAUCGGUCGAAAUAGCAGUCCGACUCUAAACUUAGUAACUUAGUUCCCCCGCAACUUGUCAAUUCCGCACGGACAACCGAGGAUGUUCGGACGGGGCGCCGCGCCGCGCCGCGGCUAUUCGACGGCUUGAUGGAAUGGAAUUAUUCGUCGGAGGAAAUUCGGCGCAACGCCCGCGCCGGGUAGCGUCGACGGUUUGAAAGCGUGUGCGGUAGUCGCGUCGAUUACACGCAAACGAGACGCUGUAUUUGCGGAUCAACGAACUCCUCGGGAAAUCCGGGCGAAUCAGGCCACGUUUACAAAUUCGAUUUCCGGAAGUAAAUGCUACACCGUUCACGAAGUACAGAACUGGCGUGCUUCGAAAUUGCAACGCCGAGAUCUCAAGUUGGUAUAGAAAGAUAUAAUACUCUACGAGUAUUGUGAUUUGUAUAAAGUAGGCUAGGCUUAUGAUACUUUAUAUCGUCAAGGUGUUGCAAUUUUCAUACGCGGAAGCGUGUUUGACGGACGAACGAGACCUGCCGGGUCGCGAUCGUUGACAGCGCCGAACAAAUGAAUAACGGCGAAACAAUGAGCGAGCAAAGAUUCUCGGAUUCGAGUAGACGUGGCCUGUUCGUUCGUGUUCACCGCUUCCGUUCUGAAAUUGGUGUACCCCUGGUACCUGCGACAAAUGGAUUCGCUCCUCGCGAACCUCGUCGAGAUGUUCGUGCGGCAGAACAAACGUUUCCGACGGAGUCACGGACCGACUGAAUUCGUCGUAGCAGGGCGGCGGCACGGGGCUCUUCGGCAAUUCCGGUGUCUUCGGCGGUUUAGCUCUGCGAUGGAACAGUAAAUCUUAUUAUUAACGAGUCCACUCGAUGGAGACCCACUCGAGGAAUGCUUUGAUGCUGCUCGGCAACCACUAUCCCGAUCGCGCGGUAUUGCGUCGCGCGCGUGCAAAUGCAGCCCAGAAAUACAGCCAUGUUUCGGAUUAAGUCACGCGUUAGGCGCAUUCAAGCGGAGCGAAGCUAGUUCUCUUUUAGCCAGAAGUUAGGCGGGGCUCGAUCGACAUGCUAAACGGUUUCUUAGAAAAAGUACCCACUCGACCGUUGCGAUUUAAGCAGCGAGAAACGUUCUGUCAACUACGUAAAAGUUGUCGGAAAUUGUCACGUUUGAGGUCGUCCGAAAGUAGACUAUAAAACGAGCGCGUUUUAUUUAUGUUUUUCAGUGUAUUCGUCGCGGUUAGGUCUCAGGUUGUCUUACAGUUUAAUGCGAAGACGUUGAAGUUUACCGAACCUAACAAAGCGAGAAGUGGUUGCCGAGGCGACGAUUGUGUGAGCGGUUAAUGAGGCGCUGCGAUUAAUGCUCGAGAAUAUGGUGACGAUAGAGAGACAGAGUUUAAUGAAUUGAGAGUUAAUGGCGAUGUUACAGAGCGGCGGUAGCGCGGUGGUAGCGGCGCGACAAACGGUUGCGCAUAAUAUAUAAAGGUGGUAUGGCUUUCUGACAGACUAGUGACCGCAGCCCUGUUGCCAAUGCUCGGCUUGAUAAUCGGAGGUGACGUGGUAAUGUUGAUACGAGAUGCACUCGACUGCUCAGACCUUUCGAUUACAAGCUUUAUAGAGUCAGAGGUUUGAAGGAGUUUCUGGGCGUCUACAUGCCUCACGUCUCGCACGUCGUAAUCGUCGAUUUUCUUGAUCACAUCACCCCUCUGGAGCGCCUCGUUCUCCGACUGCAAAACAGAAUAGAAUUCCCUUGAGUAACGUUCACGGUCUCCUUGCUUUCUGGUUGCUCAAUUAAUCCUUGCACCUCGUGCAGCGUUAAGCAUUUCUUCGUGUUGUCUUUUAAUUAAGCGACUAGAAUAACAAGCCUCGGCAUUAGUUUCAUAUCACUAUCGACAAGAUGUCUUAACAAUCUAGGCACAACUAGAAACGCGGUGAUUCCCAGAAUAGAAGUGUACUGAAAAUUGUUGAACAGAGUUAUUUCUUAGAGUCGAUUUCCUUAGAAUUUUAUUGUUCACUUCGUUUUCAUAAAGAAUCACCCUUUCUUGUUGUACCUCGAUUGUUAGGAUGUUGCGUGUAUUAGUACAGUUUGGGGUGUGGUUUAGAAAGAAAACAAGCAGCCAAGUAAUGUCGCGAAUUAUUUUAAUCAGUUCGGUUACUCGUAGGGGAGCACACCCAAAUGCUGUAAGGGAUUAGAAAAAGGUUGAUAAAUGCAGUAAUGCACGAUUAUGCUUUAACGAUCAACAGCUUUUGGACCGGGUCCAAACGUGUUUAUGGCCUCUCCUUUCUGCCUUCGACAACUGGUGCCAAAAAGAAUCUAGCCGAGACGAUCGUGAAGGUGCACGAGAUUAGGGCGCACGUGACAGGUGGAUGCUCGAGGUGCACAUUAAAUCCAGAAAGUCUUUCAACGCUGGGCGAUUGUAUCGCCUGAGAGUUAAUCGCGGUCGAGACAAAUCGACGGGAACAAAGUAUCCGCAAACGGCUAGCCUUUUCUAUCGAACGUUCGUAUAAUUUCCCUCGCAAUUGAGCUUUUCGUCAAAGCUUCAGAUUCCCGUUGUCUUUACCGAGAGUUCCAUCGUCGAUCAACGCCGAAAACCGUCGGCCGUUGAUACAGUCCGAGACACGAACAUGUCAAGUUCACGAAUGCAGUCGCGUCGGUUUAACGUUCACGGGGAACAAAGGCUUGCACCGUGGCAGAAAAAGAUGAAAAGCCGAGAGUCUAUAACGCGGUAAAUAUUAUGCUAUUGGCAGGAGGUAGUCUUCGUUAGAAAAUAAUCUGGAUCCCCUGCUGUUCCGCUGUGGAUGCUCCGCUGUACAUCCAAUAAUAACUGUACGGCGGCAACGCGUGCGAAUCGAAUCAGUGUGUUACCGCAUGCAUCGGGCAAACCCGCGUCGAGGAGGCGAGCACGAUUAAAACGAUGAUUAAAUAGAAAGAAUGAAUGAAUGAAUGAGAGAAGAGAAAGAGAGUGAGAGUGAGAGAGUGAAUCAGAGAGGAACUCACGCGGGUGACGACGAUCGGCGUGCCCAAAUCAGCGCCUCCGGCGAUACGUAUUCCCCAGGGUCUGCCGGUGGUGGAUCUCUUAAGCUUCACGAUCAACGUUUGUUUCCUCGUCAUGCUCUACUCCGUCUGUCACAACAACGCAACCGCGUGUUUAGAACGGAUACAAAACCGAGCUGCCUGAGAUCCUCGGUCGAGGAGAACCUACGAACAACGCGAGACGCGGGUGGCGAGAACAAAAAUCACCGUGUAGAAAGAGAGCACAGAGUACGAAGGCAAGUGAAAAAAAAACGUCGACGAGAGAGAGACAGAGAGAGAGAGAGAGAAAGAGAGACAACGAGAAUUAUCCGACGGACCUCGAUAGAGAUCGUUGACAGGGAUCGGACACGACACGAAUCCGUGGCGAAUCGGGACGGUGUCGAAGCCACUGCUCGGCUUACGCUCCUUACUGGCAAACGAGAACUACUGGGCUGCGCUCUGCCACUUGAUUUUGACAGGCUUUACUUCAGCGAGCUUAGUUACCCAACUAACCGGCCCGCCGCUUCUGCUAUUCUGGCCCCAUUUCGAAUUGGCAUACCGUGUGUGUAUUGUUCUGGCCCGACCUGCACUCAUUUCUCUGGCAUUUGCGGCCUCCCCGACUUUUGCUGCGUCUAACCAUGGGGACCAUCGAUCCCCUACGAAAUCCAAUAUCCCGUGGGAUACUCCGCGCGCGUUUUACAAUAUUUUACAGUUCCCGCGGCGAUCCCGGGCGGGUCCUAAGGUAGCCAGGGUACUUGUUAGUCCUUUGGAUGCGCGAGGUCGGUGUUCCUUGGAAUUACAAUCAGGGGUCUUGAAUUAACGAAGACAGGGGGCGGAAGGGCACAUACGCAAGCUGCACAAGUAGGGUACUUCUCACAGUACUUUGAAACCUUUCGCUUAACAGAGAAACUUACUUUAACGGUGCGCUUGCGAUUCGCCAGGAUGCGGUCUUACACCGUGAUGAGUUUCUAGUUUAAGUGGGCGGGGGGCGACUGUAAUCCUUAGACAAGAAUCGAUCUACAGGAGUAUCGGUUUAUA